rnacentral:rRNA from 1 species
CCUAGGGGGGCUGCAGUGGGGAAUAUUGGACAAUGGGCGAAAGCCUGAUCCAGCCAUGCCGCGUGUGUGAAGAAGGCCUUCGGGUUGUAAAGCACUUUCAGUGGGGAAGAAAGCCUUGGGGCUAAUACCCUCGAGGAAGGACAUCACCCACAGAAGAAGCACCGGCUAACUCCGUGCCAGCAGCCGCGGUAAUACGGAGGGUGCGAGCGUUAAUCGGAAUUACUGGGCGUAAAGCGCGCGUAGGCGGUCUGAUAAGCCGGUUGUGAAAGCCCCGGGCUCAACCUGGUAACGGCAUCCGGAACUGUCAGGCUAGAGUGCAGGAGAGGAAGGUAGAAUUCCCGGUGUAGCGGUGAAAUGCGUAGAGAUCGGGAGGAAUACCAGUGGCGAAGGCGGCCUUCUGGACUGACACUGACGCUGAGGUGCGAAAGCGUGGGUAGCAAACAGGAUUAGAUACCCCGGUAGUC